rnacentral:lncRNA from 1 species
UUCAGGGUCGUCGAGUGGAGGACCUGGAGCUGAGAGGAGGUGAUCGGAAGCGUAGGUCAAUUAGGACCGCUUCUUUUUGGAAGGCCAGUCUUUUGUAGUCUUUUGGCCAUAGACCUGUGUACGUGACUCAGUGUAUAUAUAAAAGCAUGUUUGUUUGUGAAUCUAUUAUCCUGCUUUUCUAUCCCGAGAUGAUUAUUGUCAGGGGAUUUCUUUUCGCUUCCG